rnacentral:rRNA from 1 species
GACGAACGCUGGCGGCGUGCUUAACACAUGCAAGUCGUGCGGUAAGGCCCUUUCGGGGGUACACGAGCGGCGAACGGGUGAGUAACACGUGAGCAACCUGCCCUUCACUUUGGGAUAACUGCCGGAAACGGUGGCUAAUACCGGAUAUGACUUCCUCACGCAUGUGGGGUGGUGGAAAGCCUUCGGGUGGUGGGGGAUGGGCUCGCGGUCUAUCAGCUUGUUGGUGGGGUGAUGGCCUACGAAGGCUUCGACGGGUAGCCGGCCUGAGAGGGUGACCAGCCACAAUGGGACUGAGAGACGGCCCAGACGGCUACGGGAGGCAGCAGUGGGGAAUAUUGGACAGUGGGCGAAAGCCUGAUCCAGCAACGCCGCGUGAGGGAUGACGGCUUUCGGGUUGUAAACAUCUUUCGCCUGCGACGAAGCGAGAGUGACGGUAGCAGGUAAAGAAGCACCGGCCAACUACGUG